rnacentral:rRNA from 1 species
GACGAACGCUGGCGGCGUGCUUAACACAUGCAAGUCGAACGGGCCCGCUCUCUUUUUUGGGGGUGGGUUGAGUGGCGAACGGGUGAGUAUCACGUGAGUAACCUGCCCCCUGCUCCUGGAUAACUGCUUGAAAGGGCGGCUAAUACGGGGUGUGCCGGCUGGUCCGCAUGGGCCUGGUCGGGAUAGUUUCAUCUUCGGGUGUUUCGGUGGGGGAUGGGCUCGCGGCCUAUCUGCUUGUUGGUGGGGUGAUGGCCCACCGAGGCGGUGACGGGUAGCCGGGCUGAGAGGGUGGGCGGCCAGACUGGGACUGAGACACGGCCCAGACGCCUGCGGGAGGCAGCAGUGGGGGGGAUUGCACAAUGGGCGGAAGCCUGAUGAAGCGACGUCGCGUGAGGGAUGGAGGCCUUCGGGUUGUGAACCUCUUUCUCCGGUGGUGAAGGCCCUGUCCGUUGCGGCGGGGUUGACGGUAGCCGGGUAUGAAGCGCCGGCUAACUACGU